rnacentral:pre_miRNA from 1 species
AAGAGAAUAGCUGGGUCAAAUGGUGGUUCCAUUCCCAAUUUUCCAAAAAAUAUCCAUACUGCUUUCCAAAUUGGCCACACUAGUUUGCAGUCCCACCAGUAAU